rnacentral:rRNA from 1 species
UACGUAGGGGGCAAGCGUUGUCCGGAAUCAUUGGGCGUAAAGCGCGCGUAGGCGGCCCUUUAAGUCCGUUGUGAAAGUCAAAGGCUCAACCUUUGAAAGCCGAUGGAUACUGCAGGGCUAGAGUCCGGAAGAGGCGAGUGGAAUUCCUGGUGUAGCGGUGGAAUGCGCAGAUAUCAGGAGGAACACCAAUAGCGAAGGCAGCUCGCUGGGACGGUACUGACGCUAAGGCGCGAAAGCGUGGGGAGCGAACAGG